CAUCUCUCCAGAAGAUGACUUAACUGGUGAACGCCCAAGUUCACCACCUUCCUCAGAGCCACCGAGCAUGUACCACAACGAUGAUCCUACAUAUGACCCUGCCUAUGAACCAUCGUACGACAAGAGUUCUGAAAUGCUCUUGCUUUUCACGCCAGCACCAUCCACCGCGAUGGAAGAGGGACCAUCGAGUGGCCCGUAACGGACUCCUGCUUGGAUGCAGAGAUGACUCGUCGCGGUCACUACAGCAACGGCGUAUCAGGUGACGCGGAAACCACCAACGGGAACAACACUGUGUUUUUUGAACUAAACCCUAUGUCACCGACAUACGCCGAAUGGUCAUCGGUAUCAGCGAGAUUCUGGAACAACGCCCCCCUCGAUUUGCGCUUCAGUGGGCACGGCAGCACCCGAGCGAUGCAGCCACGAAUGAACCUUUUCGUCUUUAUCGUGCAGCGAGGACGAGGAAACCGAUGAAGGCAACCCACAAGGGGAGAACAAGUACAUUGUGUAUGAAAGCUGCCUGCUUG